AUGUUUCAGCUGCUCAAGAUCCUAACAUGUAUCCUAACCAAGGCUAUGUCGGUCCUGGAUAUGCACUUGGGAACUGUAAUCAAGUCUCGCAUCCCAGGCCUCCAGUCGAUAAUUAAUAAAAGUAUUGCUGAACUAGAGGCGGAAUUGAGUCGUUUUGGCAAGCCUGUUGCUUUUGAUGGUGGAGGUAAACUGUACCUGAUUAUGGAGAUUUGUCAUCUUUAUGAUGGAAUUUACAAAGAACAUCUUGAC